CCUACGGGAGGCAGCAGUGGGGAAUAUUGCACAAUGGGGGAAACCCUGAUGCAGCGACGCCGCGUGAGUGAAGAAGUAUUUCGGGAUGUAAAGCUCUGUCAGCAGGGAAGAAAAUGACGAUACCUGACCAAGAAGCUCCGGCUAACUACGUGCCAGCAGCCGCGGUAAUACGGAGGGGGCGAGCGUUAUCCGGAUUUACGGGGUGGAAAGUGCACGUAGACGGCAGGGCAAGUCUAGAGUGAAAGGCGAGGGCUCAACCUCAGGACUGCUAUGGAAACUGCCAGGCUGGAGUACAAGAGAGGAAAGUGGAAUUCCUAGUGUAGCGGUGAAAUGCGUAGAUAUUAGGAGGAAUACCAGUGGCGAAGGCGGCUAACUGGCUUGUAACUGACGUUGAGGUUCGAAAGCGUGGGGAGCAAACAGGAUUAGAUACCCCAGUAGUC
rnacentral:rRNA from 1 species